AUUGAACGCUGGCGGCAGGCCUAACACAUGCAAGUCGAGCGGUAGCACAGAGAGCUUGCUCUCGGGUGACGAGCGGCGGACGGGUGAGUAAUGUCUGGGAAACUGCCUGAUGGAGGGGGAUAACUACUGGAAACGGUAGCUAAUACCGCAUAACGUCGCAAGAUCAAAGUGGGGGACCUUCGGGCCUCAUGCCAUCAGAUGUGCCCAGAUGGGAUUAGCUAGUAGGUGGGGUAACGGCUCACCUAGGCGACGAUCCCUAGCUGGUCUGAGAGGAUGACCAGCCACACUGGAACUGAGACACGGUCCAGACUCCUACGGGAGGCAGCAGUGGGGAAUAUUGCACAAUGGGCGCAAGCCUGAUGCAGCCAUGCCGCGUGUGUGAAGAAGGCCUUCGGGUUGUAAAGCACUUUCAGCGGGGAGGAAGGCGGUGAGGUUAAUAACCUCAUCGAUUGACGUUACCCGCAGAAGAAGCACCGGCUAACUCCGUGCCAGCAGCCGCGGUAAUACGGAGGGUGCAAGCGUUAAUCGGAAUUACUGGGCGUAAAGCGCACGCAGGCGGUCUGUCAAGUCGGAUGUGAAAUCCCCGGGCUCAACCUGGGAACUGCAUUCGAAACUGGCAGGCUAGAGUCUUGUAGAGGGGGGUAGAAUUCCAGGUGUAGCGGUGAAAUGCGUAGAGAUCUGGAGGAAUACCGGUGGCGAAGGCGGCCCCCUGGACAAAGACUGACGCUCAGGUGCGAAAGCGUGGGGAGCAAACAGGAUUAGAUACCCUGGUAGUCCACGCCGUAAACGAUGUCGAUUUGGAGGUUGUGCCCUUGAGGCGUGGCUUCCGGAGCUAACGCGUUAAAUCGACCGCCUGGGGAGUACGGCCGCAAGGUUAAAACUCAAAUGAAUUGACGGGGGCCCGCACAAGCGGUGGAGCAUGUGGUUUAAUUCGAUGCAACGCGAAGAACCUUACCUGGUCUUGACAUCCACAGAACUUUCCAGAGAUGGAUUGGUGCCUUCGGGAACUGUGAGACAGGUGCUGCAUGGCUGUCGUCAGCUCGUGUUGUGAAAUGUUGGGUUAAGUCCCGCAACGAGCGCAACCCUUAUCCUUUGUUGCCAGCGGUUAGGCCGGGAACUCAAAGGAGACUGCCAGUGAUAAACUGGAGGAAGGUGGGGAUGACGUCAAGUCAUCAUGGCCCUUACGACCAGGGCUACACACGUGCUACAAUGGCAUAUACAAAGAGAAGCGACCUCGCGAGAGCAAGCGGACCUCAUAAAGUAUGUCGUAGUCCGGAUUGGAGUCUGCAACUCGACUCCAUGAAGUCGGAAUCGCUAGUAAUCGUAGAUCAGAAUGCUACGGUGAAUACGUUCCCGGGCCU
rnacentral:rRNA from 1 species